rnacentral:rRNA from 1 species
CCUACGGGAGGCUGCAGUGGGGAAUAUUGGACAAUGGGCGAAAGCCUGAUCCAGCCAUGCCGCGUGUGUGAAGAAGGCCUUCGGGUUGUAAAGCACUUUCAGUGGGGAAGAAAGCCUUGGGGCUAAUACCCUCGAGGAAGGACAUCACCCACAGAAGAAGCACCGGCUAACUCCGUGCCAGCAGCCGCGGUAAUACGGAGGGUGCGAGCGUUAAUCGGAAUUACUGGGCGUAAAGCGCGCGUAGGCGGUCUGAUAAGCCGGUUGUGAAAGCCCCGGGCUCAACCUGGGAACGGCAUCCGGAACUGUCAGGCUAGAGUGCAGGAGAGGAAGGUAGAAGUCCCGGUGUAGCGGUGAAAUGCGUAGAGAUCGGGAGGAAUACCAGUGGCGAAGGCGGCCUUCUGGACUGACACUGACGCUGAGGUGCGAAAGCGUGGGUAGCAAACAGGAUUAGAUACCCGAGUAGUC